rnacentral:rRNA from 1 species
UACGGAGGGGGCAAGCGUUAUUCGGAAUUAUUGGGCGUAAAGGGCGCGUAGGCGGCUAGAUGUGUCAGAGAUGAAAUCCCUCGGCUCAACUGAGGAACUGCCUUUGAAACUGUCUGGCUUGAGGCCGGGAGAGGGUAGCGGAAUUCCCAGUGUAGCGGUGAAAUGCGUAGAUAUUCGGCGGAACACCAGUGGCGAAGGCGACUACCUGGCCUGUUCUUGACGCUGAGGCGCGAAAGCUAGGGGAGCAAACGGG